rnacentral:rRNA from 1 species
CCCGCACAAGCGGAGGAACAUGUGGUUUAAUUCGAUGAUACGCGAGGAACCUUACCUGGGCUAGAACGUCCUUGGAAUACCCCGGAAACGGGGUAGCCGGCAACGGCCGGGACGAGGUGCUGCAUGGUUGUCGUCAGCUCGUGCCGUGAGGUGUCGGGUUAAGUCCCAUAACGAGCGCAACCCCUACCGUUAGUUGCCAGCGGGUCAAGCCGGGCACUCUAAGGGAACUGCCGGCGUAAGCCGCGAGGAAGGCGGGGAUGACGUCAAAUCAGCACGGCCCUUACGUCCAGGGCUACACACGUGUUACAAUGGCCGGUACAGAGGGCAGCCACCCCGCGAGGGGGCGCGAAUCCCGAAAGCCGGUCUCAGUUCGGAUCGGAGUCUGAAACCCGACUCCGUGAAGCUGGAUUCGCUAGUAAUCGCGCAUCAGCCAUGGCGCGGUGAAUACGUUCCCGGGCCUU